rnacentral:misc_RNA from 1 species
UGGCUCUCGCAUCGAUGAAGAACGCAGCGAAAUGCGUUAAGUAAUGUGAAUUGCAGAAUUCAGUGAAUCAUCGAAUCUUUGAACGCAUCUUGCGCCCCUCGGUAUUCCGAGGGGCAUGCCUGUUUGAGUGUCAUGUUAACCUCAAAUCACUUGUCUUUCUUGAUUGAAGGGCUUGAGGUUUGGACUUGGAGGCUUUUGCUGGCUUCGGUCGGCUCCUCUCAAAUGUAUUAGCUGGGCUUUGGCUUGCGUUUACGGUGUAAUAGUUAAUCCUUUCGCCAGAACGCUUGCCUAAUAGGUCUGCUUCUAAUUGUCUGUUUCGGACAAGGCUUCUGGCCUUCUUGACUCCUUUGACCUCAAAUCAGGUAGGACUACCCGCUGA